ACUUCUACGGGAGGCAGCAGUGGGGAAUAUUGCACAAUGGGCGCAAGCCUGAUGCAGCCAUGCCGCGUGUAUGAAGAAGGCCUUCGGGUUGUAAAGUACUUUCAGCAGUGAGGAAGGUGGAUAUGUUAAUAGCAUAUUCAUUUGACGUUAGCUGCAGAAGAAGCACCGGCUAACUCCGUGCCAGCAGCCGCGGUAAUACGGAGGGUGCGAGCGUUAAUCGGAAUUACUGGGCGUAAAGCGCAUGCAGGUGGUUUGUUAAGUCAGAUGUGAAAGCCCGGGGCUCAACCUCGGAAUUGCAUUUGAAACUGGCAAACUAGAGUACUGUAGAGGGGGGUAGAAUUUCAGGUGUAGCGGUGAAAUGCGUAGAGAUCUGAAGGAAUACCGGUGGCGAAGGCGGCCCCCUGGACAGAUACUGACACUCAGAUGCGAAAGCGUGGGGAGCAAACAGGAUUAGAUACCCUGGUAGGC
rnacentral:rRNA from 1 species